rnacentral:rRNA from 1 species
UACGAACUGUGCAAACGUUAUUCGGAAUCACUGGGCUUAAAGGGUGCGUAGGCGGCUCAUUAAGUAGGGUGUGAAAGCCCCCGGCUCAACCGGGGAAUUGCGCUCUAAACUGAUGGGCUGGAGUGAGAUAGGGGUGUGUGGAACUUCCGGUGGAGCGGUGAAAUGCGUUGAUAUCUACAGGAACUCCGGUGGCGAAAGCGGCGUGCUGGACCUUUUCUGACGCUGAGGCGCGAAAGCUAGGGGAGCAAACGGG